GCAAAGCACAUGUGUCCUGUGGCUUAGGAACCUCGUCAUUGUCUCCGGAGCUGAAGCAGCUGUGGGAGCCAGGGGCUGUGUGGCUCAGGGCAUUGAAUAUAUUUUGUACAUGUCACCUCCAGUUCUCCUAGCAACUGAUGAAGAAGCCUGUGUUAUCAGCCCUGUUGUACAGACUGGGUAAGUGAGGCACAGAGACAUCAUGUGACUUACCCAAGAUCACACAGCUAAUUAGCACCAGAGCCAGGAUUCAAACACCAGCUUUCAAGCUCUGAAUUGGCACUGCUCAAUAAAUACUCAGAAGACAAGCA
rnacentral:lncRNA from 1 species